AGCAUAAUCAUUAGUUUAUUAAUUGUGGACUGGAAUGAAUGGUUGGACGAAAUAUUAACUGUCUCAUUUUUAUUUUUAGAAUUUAAAUUUUUAGUUAAAAUGCUUAAAUUUUUUUAAAGGACGAGAAGACCCUAUAGAUCUUUAUAUUUUUAUAAUUUUAUAUUUUUUGGUUAUUUUUUAUAUUAAUUAUUAAUUUAUUUGGUUGGGGUGACAUUAGGAUAUAAUUACUCUUAAUUUUUUUAUUCAAUUAUUUUUGAAUUUUUGACCUUUUAUUAUUGUUUAAAGAUUAAGAUACCUUAGGGAUAACAGCGUAAUUUUUUUUGAGAGUUCUUAUCGACAAAAUAGAUUGCGACCUCGAUGUUGGAUUAAGAUUAUAUUUAGGUGAAGAUGCUUAAAUGUUAAG
rnacentral:rRNA from 1 species